rnacentral:rRNA from 1 species
GAUGAACGCUGGCGGCGUGCCUAAUACAUGCAAGUCGAGCGAACAGACGAGGAGCUUGCUCCUCUGACGUUAGCGGCGGACGGGUGAGUAACACGUGGAUAACCUACCUAUAAGACUGGGAUAACUUCGGGAAACCGGAGCUAAUACCGGAUAAUAUAUUGAACCGCAUGGUUCAAUAGUGAAAGACGGUUUUGCUGUCACUUAUAGAUGGACCCGCGCCGCAUUAGCUAGUUGGUAAGGUAACGGCUUACCAAGGCAACGAUGCGUAGCCGACCUGAGAGGGUGAUCGGCCACACUGGAACUGAGGCGCGGUCCAGACUCCUACGGGAGGAAGCAGUAGGGAAUCUUCCGCAAUGGGCGGAAGCAUGACGGAGCAGCGCCGCGUGAGUGAUGAAGGUCUUCGGAUCGUAGAGCUCUGUUAUUGGGGGAGAACAAAUGUGGAAGUGACUAUGCACGUCUUGACGGUACCUGGUCAGAAAGCCACGGCUAACUACGUG